CGGGAAACCGGAGCUAAUACCGGAUAAUAUAUUGAACCGCAUGGUUCAAUAGUGAAAGACGGUUUUGCUGUCACUUAUAGAUGGAUCCGCGCCGCAUUAGCUAGUUGGUAAGGUAACGGCUUACCAAGGCAACGAUGCGUAGCCGACCUGAGAGGGUGAUCGGCCACACUGGAACUGAUACACGGUCCAG
rnacentral:rRNA from 1 species